AUAACACUUUGAAAUUGUAGGGGUGAAAUUAAGAAAAAUGAGUAUAUGUAGAUUACAAUGGUCUUCCUCAGCCGCCUGAAAACCCUAACCUGCAAAUACGAUUCUUUGUUACCAAAUUUCUCUUCUUCAAAUCCUUUGCAAAAAACAAUUGAAUACAGUAAAACAAAAAUCCAAUACCCUGGCGUUAAAGAUUUGGUCUUAAAACACAGAAAGUGAUAGAAUUCACCCUAAUAGUAAAUCGAAACAAGAAAGUAUAUGAAGCUCAACAAACAAACAGCCAACGAUAUACAAAUGGUGAGAAAAUUUACUUUCUUUUUGUCAUUAUACUAUCUAUGCAUCAGUGUCGAGGGGCAAGCUUCAUUUUCAACUGCAUGGGUAGAUCCAUAUUCAUCCUCCAUCGAGCUUCCAUUUCCGCUGGCGAUCCUAAGCUCAUCCAUUCUCCAUCAACCCAGUACCAUAAAUUGAAUACCAUCUCCAUCUCCCUUUCUUCCAUCUGGGGGAUGCCAAGAGUCAAUUCUAGACUGGGGUCAUCUUCCGGCUCAAGAUGUGGCCGUACACGAAUUUGUGGCUGAAGAUUAAUCUUUGCACCAUUAAUGUCAAGCCCUAAUGGAAUCUAAAAUAAAGAAAUUAUCGGAGCAGAUUAGUGCAUUGGAAGAAAAAAAAUGCAAAGCUGAAAGUGAAGCAUAGGGAAGAUGAGAAACUUUGGAGUGGGCUAGAGUCAAAGUUCUCCUCCACAAAGACCUUAUCUGAUCAAAUUACCGAAACUUUACAAACUUCAGCUGAUCAGGUUCAGGAUGGUAUGAGGUUUACCAUUAAUACUAGAUACCUGCACUACGAAAUAAUUAUGGAUGUAAUUAUCAUGGUCCUGCUUAUUCAGCUGAGAGAGACAAAGCCAUCUUCACAAAUAUGUUUUCUGAAACUUCAGCAGCUCUUGAAAAUCUGAAUGAUCAGAUGAAGUCUAUGUCGCUAAGGCUGGAAUCCUCAGAAGAUCCCCUUAGAAAUCGCGACAAAGAAUUGAUGGAGCUUUGCAUUGACAAGGAAAAUGUAGCGAAAUAACUUAGAGACGAACAAUGCAAAGUCUUCGGUCUUGUCAACGAAAAAGAUAAUCUAUGCAAGAACUUCCAAGAGACUGUAACAUCGCAUGAGUCAACCUUUGCUACUUUGAACUCUAAAUUGAAUGAGUUGCAACUUGAGCUAAUCUCCAAGGAAAAUAGGCUAAACAAGAUGCAUGACUUGUGUGAAAUAAAGAAGGAGAAAACCGAUCUCAUAGUCAGCAGUAAGAAUUUUACCGAGCAUUUAAACAAAGCAAAGCAGGAUAACCAGAGCUUAGAAAAUUUUGUGAACAUGCUGACCGUUAAGCUAACAGAUUUCGAUAGCCAGAGUGCAGCCUUUUGGCAGAACAUUCACAAUGAGCUACAGAAUGAUCUAAAAUUCACAAUGGCCCAGCAUGCAGAAGAAUGUCAGCGAUCAGAAGAAAAGGUUCAGAGGUUCUCGUCUGAAGCAGAAGCUCUUCUUUUAAAGAAGUCUGAAUUGGAGAACCUGAUUACCAUUUUGGAGGAUAGAAUCCGUUUUUCUAUCUGAAGCUUCUAAGAUCUCAGAGAUACAGAUGGUGCACUCUUGUUUGGUUACUAAAAUAAUCUUCAUUGUUCUAUUAUGUAGAGGCUUAAUCAAUAUGUAUUGUGAAAAUUGCGGCAAGACUUUCAGUUAAAGUUUUCGGAGACCGAAACUGAGAAUAAAGAGAGUAUCAGAAAUCUUCAAGUAGAGAUAGAUAUAUGAAAAAACAGGAAAUGGAUGCUCUGAGAAGUGAGAUUGUGAAGCAUGAGAAGCAUUGCCUGAUACACCAAAUCUAGAAAAAGUGGGUGGGCAUUCUUUUCUGCCACCAAGGAGGUGAAACCGAUUGUGGUGGAGGAUGAGCCACCACAACCAUGCAUAUUUGUUGCAGAUGCAGCAGCAGUAGCAGCCACCAAUUCACUGCCUGCGCUAUGCAGGAAAGUCAAAGGAGGAACUAGAAGAUGACUGCUUUUCAGGGUUACUUGCUAUAUAUCUAUUUAAUCAAAAUACGCGUUUCUGCUAUAAAUAAAUCUAUUGUUGAUAAGCGAUUGAGAGUUGGCACCCAUUUACUUAGGAUAGUUCUGCGUGCUACUAGUGGCAUAAGAAGCAGCAAAUAAGUCUGAUACUGUACCUUAGUCUAUUAGUUGUCUUUUGUUAAAUUUGGGCUGAAACAAAGCUUGUGGUAACAUAUGGUUGUUUUCCAUUAAUGUUGAUGCCAUCUGAUGAAAAUGUGACAUGUUUGGCUAA